rnacentral:rRNA from 1 species
UAUGUGAUCGUCUCUCGCAUAUCAAUAAGCGGAGGAAAAGAAACUAACAAGGAUUCCCCUAGUAACGGCGAGUGAAGCGGGAAGAGCUCAAAUUUGAAAUCUUAAAGGGUUUCCCUUUACGAAUUGUAGUUUAAAGAAGUGUUUUCUGUUGAGGUUUUGGUAAAAGUUCUUUGGAAUAGGACAUCAUAGAGGGUGAGAAUCCCGUAUUUGACCUUUACUUUCAACUUUGUGAUACACUUUCAAAGAGUCGGAUUGUUUGGGAAUGCAGUCCAAAAUGGGUGGUAAAUUUCAUCUAAAGCUAAAUAUUGGCGAGAGACCGAUAGCGAACAAGUACCGUGAGGGAAAGAUGAAAAGAACUUUGAAAAGAGAGUUAAACAGUACGUGAAAUUGUCAAAAGGGAAGCGUUUGACACCAGUGUUGUUUUUCUGAAAAUCAAUUAAAGAACUGUUUAUGCUAAGUUGUUUAGACUUUAUCAGCUAACUGUUUAGUUUUGAGCUUUUCUUUAAUGCACUUUUCAGUUAACAAGUCAACAUCAAUUCCUUUUGCUGUAAAAAAGCUUGAGGAAGGUGGCUUGAGAUUCGUCUUAAGUGUUUAUAGCCUCUUGCCUAUGCAGUCGGAGAGAUUGAGGUCUGCAGCGUAGAUCCUUCGGGGCUAAAUGCAUUUGUGCUAAGUUAUAGCAUUUUAUAGACAACUUGUUGACUAUGAUUUGUCUUGUAGCUUACUCGCUUAUGUUAUUUUACCUACGCUUAGGAUGUUGACACACGCGCGUGCUCG